UACGUAGGGACCGAGCGUUGUCCGGAAUCAUUGGGCGUAAAGAGCGUGUAGGCGGCCACUUAAGUCCUGCGUGAAAUCUUGCGGCUCAACCGCAAGCGGUCGUGGGAAACUGGGUGGCUAGAGUGCGGGAGAGGAGAGUGGAAUUCCUGGUGUAGCGGUGGAAUGCGCAGAUAUCAGGAAGAACACCCGUGGCGAAGGCGGCUUUCUGGGUCUUACCUGACGCUGAGGAACGAAAGCCAGGGGAGCGAACGGG
rnacentral:rRNA from 1 species